UCCAAGUGACUUCAUAGAGUUACACUCUUGUUUGCAAUUAGUUACAAGUAGUCUUCAAGUGGUAAACUGGUUGAACCCUAAAAAAUUGUUUGGAUGUUAGUUAUUCGGAAACUAGUAUUUUAAUCUUCCCUAGAAACAGGGCUUUCUAUAGUUGUAACGAAGAUCUUCGGCCGGUCAAAAAGCCUAAUGAAUGAAGAUAUUGAAAUACAGUUCUUCACUACUGAACCUUACUCUCACGUGUAAUUGCAUCGAGGUUGAAUUUAGCUCAAAAUUCAACUCCAGGUUGUAGGUACACAUUUCCCCAGCUCCUCCUAAUUUCCUGAUCCUCAACACCCUCCACCACAUCCUGACCCUUCAUGUAUCAUGUAUGUCUUUUCUGUUCCUCAUACAGGGUUCAGAUGACUGCAGGUCUGAGGCACGGGCUCCCUCCAAUAUGACGGUGGCUUGGCAUUCGGGACACCAGCUUUAGAUGGUGGCAGAGCUCUGGAGGCUGAGGAAAGGAGCCGAGUCCUUUCAGAAAACGUUAUCUGGUUAUAUUAUCCAAAAUCAAGAGUUUUCACCUCAAAACUGGCUUGGGUAAUCUUUUCUCUAUUUAUCUUUUUCUUCAUCUACAAAAUAAGACACUUGCAAAAUGCACUUUGAGUCUGUCACCUUCACAGUAUCAUGCUAAUAUUCAGCACUGCACAAAUAUUAUUGAUUUUUGGACAGCCUGCACUCUUCACCAAAUUCUUUCAAAUUUCAUUAAUUCUGUAUCUGGCAACAAUAUGCAUUAGUAUAUAUAUCUUAAAGUUCAAAUACACUUAAAGGCUCUCAUCAAAGUAACACACCCUGAUAAUUUCCAGAGAAAUCAUGGGUUCCUAUCAAGACGCCAAAUGGUACGGCAUGUUGCAUCCUCCUCCCAGAACUUCAGAAGUCCUAAGGAACUAUGCACUCCCAGAAAUAACAAGAGUGACAACCCUGGGAAAUGACAGAGGCCUGAAGGCUGUCUCUUAGUUGGUGGGUAGCCUGGGAUUAGGGGCAGUGGGUGGCCCCUUGGUGAAAGAACAGACAAAUGGACCAAAGGAGCAGAACAGAGAGCCUAGAAAUAGAUGCCCGUUAACAUACUCCACCGUUCUUUGACAAAGGAGCACAGACCAUACAACGGAGCAAAGACAGUCUUAUCAACGAAUGGUGCUGGAAGAACUGGACAUCCACGUGCGAGACAAUGAACGUGCACAUGGACCUUUACACCUUUACAAAACGGAAAUCAAAAUGCAUUAUAGACCCACAUGUAAAAAGCAAAACUCUAGAAUUCCUAGAAGACAAUAACACGGAAGAAAACCGAGAUGACCUCUUUAUAAACAUGACUUUCUAGAUGUGACAGCAAAAUCAAGAUCCUGAAAGGAAUAACUGAUAAGCUGGACUUCAUUAACAUUUUAAACUGCUGCUCCACAAGACACAAUGUCAAGAGGAUAAAAACACAAGCCACAGACUGGGAGAAAACAUGUGCAAAAGGCACAGUUGAUAAAGGAAUAACAAAUAUACAAAUACGCAAAGAAAUCUUAAAACUAGACAACAAGAACACACACAACCAGAUUAAAAAAGGGGGCAAACAACUUAACAGACAUCUGGCCAAAGAAGACAUAAAAAUGGCAACUAAGAGUACGAGACGAUGCUCCACAUCAUAUGGCUCCAGGGAAAUGCAAAUUGAACAACAAUGAGAUACCACUACACACCUGUUAGAAUAGUCAAAAUAUGGAACACUAACAACAGCAAUUGCUGACAAGCAUGUGGAGCAAUGGAGACACUCAUUCAGUAUUGGUGGCAAGGCAAAACGGAACAGCCACUCUGGAAGGCAGUUUAGGGUUUUCUUACAAAACUAAGCAUAACCCUUAACGUACGAUCCAGCUUAACAUACGCUCCUUGGUAUUUACCCCAAGGAGUUCAAAACUUACACGCAGAUGAAAACCUGCACACAAAUGUUGAUAGCAGCUUUAUUCGUUAUCGCCAAAAAGCGGAAGCAACCAAGAUGUCCUGCACCAGAUGAACGGAUAAACAAACCGUGGUACAUCUAGUCAACGGCAUAUUAUUCGGCGCUAAAAAGCAACGAGCUAUCGAGCUGUGAAAAGAAACCUUACAUGCAUGUUACUUUGUGAAAGAAGCCAAUCUGAAAAGGUUGCAUACUGUAUGAGGCCAACUAUAUGACAUUCUGGACGUGGCAAAAUUGGGGCGACAGGAAAAGAUCGGUGGUUGCCAGGAGUUGGCGGGGAGAAGGAUGAAUAGGCGGAGCACAAAGGAUUUUUAGGGCAGUGAAAAUACUCCAUCGUUAUGAAACUCUAAUGACAGAUUCAUGUCAUUCUACUUUUAUCCAAACCCAUAGAAUGUAUGACACCAAGAGUGAGUCGCAAUGUAAACCAUAAAUCAGAUAAUAUUCUAUUAUGGCUUUCAUUUUCCAAUUCUGGUCAUCGUGUUAUGGUCACGGAAGUGAAAAUUUUCUGAUUUUGAUCACUGUGCUGUGGUUAGGUGUCCCUGAAGGUAGGAAAAUAAAACUGAAAUAUUCAGGAGUAAAGGGUAUGUGGUCUGCAUUUUCUCUCUAAUGAUUCAGGAAUAGAGCCUAAGUGUGUAGGAAGGUGUGUGUCACGUGUGUGUCUAUCAAACAUCUUCUGCCUCAACUCACAUAAAAAUCAGGUCUAGAUACAGAUAUAUUGAGAGAGAGAGCUCUUUCUAUGUGUAUAUCUAUAUCUAAACGUAUUUUCUUUCUCUCUCUCUCUUUCUAUAUAUAUCUAUAGAUAGAUAGAUAGAUAGAUAGAUUUAUGUCUAUAUACCUACAUAUCCAUAUGAUGGGAAUAACAAAGGAAAUGUGACAAAAUGUUAACAAUUGGAAAUGUAAGCAAAGGGUAUACUGGAGCUUUUGGAACCAUUUGCGAGAAAUUUCUGUAUGUGUUGGAAUAUUGUUCAGUCUUAAAAAGAAAUGAAAUUCUGACACAUGCUGCAACAUGGAUUGACUUUGAGGGCAUUGUGCUAAAUGAAAUAACUAGUCACAAGAAGACAAAUUUUGCAUGGUUCCACUGACAUGACAUACCUAGAGUAGUCAAACUCACAGAAACAGAAGGUAGAAUGGUGGUUGCCAAGAGCUUGGGAAAGGGGCAACGGGGAGAGUAGUUUAAUGUGUACAGAGUUUCAGUUUUGCAAGACGAGAAGAGUUCUGCAGGUUGGCUGCACAACAAUAUGAAGGUACCUAACGCUACAGAAUGGCACACGUAAAAAUGCUGAAGAUGAUCAAUUUUAGGUUACAUGCAUUUACCGCAAUUUAGAAAUCUGCAUAAGUUUUGAAUUCUUACAAUGGAAAAAGUGUUUCAAAAAUAGCUCUCCUGGUGCUUGUUCUGGUGAAAAUGAGAUUGGGGAAAAAAGGAGAUAGUACAAAAAAGCUGACGUUGAAAAACCAAACAUUUUCUGUCUCAACUCAUCCUACAUCCAACCUAUUCUACCAAGGAAACUUGAAAGUGCAUUUAGAACAAUGCCCCUUAUUGAGUCUAUUUCUUGAUUUGCUCUGUCAACCUCCUGACUAAAGACUCAAAGGGCUAUCUUCACUGUGUCUCUCCACACUCUGUCUGGAGUCGGCUCCCUGUUUUGUGGUCAGCUCUCACUCUUCUCAGCAUUCCCGUGGGAGAGGGAAUACCGAGCUGCACAGACUCUCCAGCCCUUACAAGCCCAUAUAGCGGCAGAGACAACAUACCCUCUCCACAUCCCAGACAUCACCCCAAAAGAUGUCCACAUACCUGGGAAUGCACAGUCUAGGAGUGCAUCUCUAGAAAAGCCUACCUCUCUAGAAAGCUACAGUUGGUACGUCUACGGUUCACGAUUGGAGUUUGUAUUGUUUGUAGAGCCUCAAGCAUGACCCCUCAUUGCCUUGCCAGUGCUACUAGGAUUGAGCCAAAACCAUUCAGCAGAGCCUACAAUGCCCUUCAAAAUCUGGCCCUGCCAGCCCUCAUCCUUGUGGCGCACCUCUCUCUCCCUCAAUCCUGUUCUCCAGUCCUGACCUCCUUUUAUUUCCUCCCAAGAGCCAUAUGCCUUCCAACACUGCUCAAUGACGUCAG